CUAGCUAUUGCGUUCUUCGUGGGACCAGCCUAACUAAAGGCCACUGGGCUGGAAUAGCCAACGCCUUCCAACUGCCACUAAGGGAGGUUUUCCGUUCCGUGUUUGGGAUUGGCUGGGACUUCUGGUGCCUCCUGCCAAGGGUGGAGCCAAUGGUUGGGCAGCCCAGAAGGCUCCAAGCAUGCGCACUUGAGCUCGAGCUCUUGCGUCGUCUGUUCAUCAGUGCAGUUAGUUGGUCUUCAAGCUCAGUGCAAGUUGGUGGUAGUGUCCCUGUACUCCAUGUGGCCUGCUGCAUGCUCGUGCAGGGUUUUAAGAUCGGGUCCUGAGCUUAAAUACAUUUCCCCGGGGUGUGAGGCUAGUCCCUUCCUUAUAGCUUCAUAGUCUUUGAUGGAGCUGUGCCAUCUGAGAAGCCUGCCUCUGGAUUGGGGUUUUGGGGAAGGGGGGUGGGUGCCAAGUCUCACCAUGGUGUCAUUCCUGGGUCCUAUUGUGGGGGCCCUCUUACCAGCCUGCCCUCUCGUAGUUCAGAAAGCCCUGCCGGGGCAUCUGUUUGUCCUCUUGCCACUUUGUUUCUGGGUCCUCCUUCAUCUUUCCUAUGUUCUAUCAUGUUCUGUCGCCAGCACUCUCCAAGUCUCAUUUACUACAGAUCUUUUGACACCGGUCAUUCUUUUAAGCCCAAAGACCGUUUGUGAAGUGGACAGAGCUAUAACUGCUGCUGUUUGUAGAGUUUUGUGUCACACUAUUUCCUUUUUUAACGUUUACAUUGUUGGUGAAUUUUACAUUGCGCACCCGGUCAUGCUCACUUCCCAGUCCUCCCAGGUGUGCCUCCCCACCUUGUGACCACCCCCUAAAAAAGAAAAACAACUCCAAUUUGUGUUGCCCAUCCUUACUGAAGCACAGGCAAACUCCCAGUGACCAGCUCCUUAAGACUGAAUCCCUCCCCACCCCCACCCCUGUCAGAAUGUAUACAUUUAAUACGCACAUCUUUCUAAGUGGGUUUUUACCUGGACACUUUCACGGCCUACCAUCUUAGUAAACAUUCUCUUUGUGGCUUACCUUACAAUAAUAGCACAGUUGGUUUCUUCAGUCACCAAACUCCUGACAUCAUUUCUCACCUGUUACUCUUAACUAGUCCAGAGAGGAAUUGAUCGUCAGACAGCGCAAAUUGGAUAAAGAAUGUUUUUCAUUUUCCUUUUUAUAAUUUCUAUUCCCACCGUGGAAGUGCGUUAAAGAUGGCUUCCACCGCAAGUGAGAAACUGUGGGAUCCGGCAAGACGAUAACUCUUUGAUGAUCUCAAAGAACUCUCUCUCUCUCUGCCUUCCAACAUCUCCUACAUUGUGAUUUCAGCAAAAAAGAAAAAAGAGGAAAAGAAAAAAAGAAAAGUAGGCUAGCCAAGAUGGCCAAGCGUGACAAUGGUGUGGAGAGGCCUAGCAGUGCUUCUGACCAUGGUUUGGGAGGCAGAGAAACCUGAAGGAUUCCUUAGAAGUCUCCAGCAGAGGGUUCAGCCAGUCCAUCUUGCUCACUUGUGCUUGUAAACAAAACAGUAUGAAAUGAGUUGGGAGCAGAUAGGCUUUGUCACUGAGGGCUCAUCUACAGUCUAUCCCCUGACUAUGUCUGGUCUUUAGGCUGCUUCCUCCAUUUUAUUUGUAAAUAUGAGGCCUAGAGUCCCAGCUCACUAAAGUGUGCGAAAUGUUUGGAAAUGUCUGGAGACUUUGAAAUCAGAAGGGAUCAGCUUUUCUAUUAUCCCCACCUGUUAAGUGUGUAUGCAACCUUGGGUAAAUUCUGGAAAGGCAGAGAGCCUCCUAUAGGUUUGCACCCACAAUGUAACAAGAACCCUGUGAGGAUUACCCUCACAGCAGGAAGGAGAGCAAGUCCUCAUUCCUGCCUCCCCUCUCUAAGAGUAACUGUAGCUUCUGAACCCCAGGGCUGAGCUGAAUGCCCCUACACCUUCCAGUCCUAGGACUCCAGGGCACUUAACAAAUCUCAUCUCUUCCACAGCAAUAAGGCCCUACUUGGGAAGACUGUUUUGUCAGGGACCUUUGGCCAAAGUUCUUCCUCCCCAACAGGAUCACAUACCUCCAAGACCACUUCUAAAUACCCUGCCCUCUUUUCUUUCCCUGGUUGUAACCCCAAUGGGUACCUUUCUACUGUGGCCCUCCCCUCACUCUCACAAACACAGACCCUAACAGACUUUGGCAGUACAGAGCUCAUUACCUGCUGCAAAGGUGAUUCCCUUUCCUGGGAGUCUUACAGUCAAAUGUCACCCCACUUCAUCUUUGGGGCUUACUUCUCCCUAGCACUUUUGGGGACAGGGACAGCUUCUUUACCCUCUCCAAGUCCAAUCUGUUCCCUCGUGUCCUCUAAAAGGUCUGUUGACAGGUGUGUUAAGUCUGAGAGGGGCACCUCCGGGUGUGCGGAGAAGCCGAGUACUUGCAUUCCCUGUGACAAAUGUGACGAUUGAUGGGUGAAAAGAAGUGAUAACUAGUGGGACCGGAGACUAUUUCAGGUUUUUUUUCCUGGUAAAACAUGUAUUCAAUCGUUUCUAUUGCAAGUGUCAGGAACUGGAGAGCAUUAUGGUGAUAGAAAAAUACAUGACUUGUAAAGGAACGAGAACACACUGAGGAGAAGGAAAGUCAAACUUUAAGGGUAUAGUUAUCAAAUAAAUGGUAAACAGAAGGCGGGAUGAAAGACGUAGAAAACCAUGUAUUGAUUUCCUGACAUUGCAAACAGCUGGGUUUUCCUUUCAAAAGAACUUGGGAAUAGGUCAACUUUGAGAAGAGCUAUAGUUUAAAUAAAAAUGCUUCUGAAACAAAAUAAAUGAACAAGAGCAAAUAUGCUUGUAUGCACAUAUACAAGAAGAUGGGGAUCUUAGGGUAGGAUGAAGAUACUAUAUCCACAACUUACAUACACAAGACAGCAUAUCGGCUACCUGUAUUACCCAAAACUGUUUUUACAUUCAAAGAGCUUUGGAAGGAACAGGGAAGAAGCAAAAGAUAGAGAUACGCAUAGUCAGCAACAUAUACACGGGAUAAUUUGCAAGCUGAGAAGUUAUGGGGUUGAGAGGGGAAGCAGUUCACAUAAGAUUGGCUUUAUCCAGGUCUCUUGCCUUAAUUGGAGCCACCAGAAUGGUCCUUGGAAGAGUCCCUACCCAACUUCAUAAAGCCUGGAAGUCCCAGGGAAAACAAUGUCUAAGGAUUUAUAUCUAAUGAAGCCCACAGAUCCUCCAAGUGAAGGAGAGAAGGGUCCAUAUUCCAAAGAAUGAUGAAGGGUGGGAGCCAUCAGUAGGGAAACUAGUCUUGAGGAUGAGUUCCGUUGACAGGAAGGACGUGUGGAAGAGACAAUAGGCAACACAAUACACAUGGAGGUUUUUCUUACUCUAGGACUAUGGGGUGGAGUCAUGUAAGGAAGCUGUGUAGGGCUCAAUGAGCAGAAAUCAGAAAGUGGCUUUUGUGUGUGUGGGGGUGGUUGUGGUCAAGUUUUCCUAUCACUGGGAAUGGUGUUUGUGGAGGACAGGGCACAGCACUUUUCAGGGAAACCCAGAUUUCUUAUAGAGGUGGUAUGAUAUUUAGUGACUAAAGCUUGAGGCAGAUGUAAAAGCGUUUAACCCAUUCUACAAACAUAAUACAUUCUGAUAAAGUGAACAUUUUAUCUCUUGGAAACUAGAAAGGAAGGGAGUGGGGGAAGACCAGGGAAUGAAGCUUAAUGGCAACCUAAAACAUUGGGCUUGAUAUCCAGCAUUGGAGGGUGCAGGGGAGAAGCAAAAAUAUAGACACAUAUAUUCAACAAUAUAUACAGGAAAGUUGGUAAGUUGAGAGAGGAAAAGGUGUCCCAAAGGUUAGCAUUCAGUAGAGGAGAGGAGAGGAGAGAAUAUAAGCACAGUGCCAGGCAUGGGAAUGAAGGGUGCAGUAUUGGGAUAGGGAAAGCAGCAAAGCCAUCAAAUGGGCUGGGGCUUCUAGAGACUGUGCACCUCCUGGACAAAGGGAUAAAAAAGCCACAGUCUAGAAUGUGAUGAGGAAUGAGAGGCAGAAAGUAGAGAGUGUCACAUGUCACAACAGGCCACCAACAUGCCAGGUCUAGGAAACUUCUGACUUAACUGACCCGUGUAUCCUCUUCCAACUUGGGGGUUGGCUUUCUGGCCACAGCAGUCCUUCCUUCCCUUUCUUUAUUGGAAAUUGAAGUAGGCUCUAGGCCAUGUUCCAAAGGAUCUGACUGGAGAGGCAGCUUUAGAAAAGUAACUGAAAACGUUUUGCUCAGGAGCAGCUGGGUGGCACUGGGUGAGAGAGUCUUAAAACAAACAAAAUGUCUGUGUCCCAUUUUCCUCAACUGUAAAAUGAAUUAGCAAUGCCAAGAGAGGCCCUAGAGAUGUUGGACAGGUAAAAGGAGGAGCUCCGUAGAUGAAGACUGCAAGGUGUUAGCUGAUUCCUGGUUAUCAAUGUUGAUGACAUCAUUUCUUAAUCCAGUCUCUCAGCCACAAUCCCGGGACCCAUUGUGAUGUCAUAUACUUUCAAAGACCCCAUGACAGCUUCUCUUACUCCCUGGAGAGAAGAUGACUUGGAACAAAGGGUCUAAAGACAAGUGUGAGCCAUCUGGGAGGUGUCUGUGCCGGAAGCCUCCUGCUCCGUGAAAGCUCGCCAGCUCUGCUGUACUCUUGCAUCACUGAGUUAUACUGCACCAGAGUUGUUGGUGUCACCUGUAGGACUAACUUGGACCUUCUUUCCAAGGCUGUUCUAAAGGCCAGCUAUGCAAUAGGGAAGUCUAUUUGGGGUGUUUUCAUGACCCAUUAGCUGCCCCCGUCCCCUCUUGCUUGUGGGUGGUCACUAAAACCUGGGCCCUCUUCUUUCCAAAUGUUAAAAUCUUGCUUUUUCCUCCUGCUUCUUCUGUGGGGUUCGCAUGGCUCAUAUCAAAGGUAUGAAAAAGUCUGAGCUUGAAGUUGUCCUCGGAUUCCCACUACGUAUUCCCACGUUAGUAGGGAAUCCCUUCACCCUCCCCUUGAAGAGAGCCCUGAAUGACUAGAGUUUCGUUUGUGUGGCAGAGGGUUCCUGCUUGCUGGGGAAGACUUUUGAAGACAACCUGAAACCUGAUGGAGGCUGAUGCUCAAAUUGAGGAUAUACCAAAUGUCACAAUGGUGGCUUCUAUGGAAGCUCCAUUGGGCAGGAGGCAGGAGACCGAUCCAAGAAAGGCUGCUGGAGAAAACAUUAAUCCUCUGCAACUUCCCCUGCCCCAACUCUGGGAGCAGAGGCCAAGGCUGGCAUUGCUGCAGGCUUGUGCCUGUCCCACACCAACCUAGGCAGUCAGUGACUGAGUCGGAAGAGCCUUGCCUGGGUUUUCAGAACUGCAUUACCUACACGGAGGCGCCUAUGGAAAUCCCUGGUGCCUUUGGUCUUUGAGCACCUUGCUCCCCAGCCUUAAGGGGGAAAGCAGAAAUGCAAUCAUACUGGCUUGUGUUAGUGAGGUCCUCUACCGUGAUUUUUUUAAAAAAUACUUUACAUAUUCAUACUAUUCUGUUUUUGAAAACUUUAAGGUAACUUUGGUAUUCUCACUGCCUAUUGUCACUUAAGACCCAAAAGUUUACAGGAAUAGAUGGGUGUGGAUACAUUCUAUGAGGAGAAAGUGUAGAACACGGCCGUUAAGGGAGGGGGUUUGGGAAUGCCAGGACAGCGAAGGGAGUGUGCGCCCACCAGGCUUUGCUGUGCAAGUUGCCAAGAGCUCACCCGCAGAACCGGAAGUGGAAGCAUCCAUUGCCCUGUGCUGCCGUCAUUCCUAUUCCGUCCGGACCAGAGAGAUGGAACCCCUUGGGAGUUAUUAUUUAUUAUUUAAUAAUAGAUGUUCAUAGAGUCUCAUGUGAAUGUCAAGACACCAGCAGGAAUUUAGAGUAGCAGAUAAAAAAAACGUUGCGUUCAUGUCCUCCCUGCACCCCACAUGGAAGCAAUACUGUGUUCUUCACUCAAUUGUAGAUGUCAACUUGUUUAGAUGUAUAACGCUUUUUAUAUGCUACCCCAUAAAAUGCUGAAUUGUUUGAUUGCUGCCCUGCUGCACUAGCCAGUCAUGGAGAGUGAUUAUGUCCCAUAAAAACUCUUGUUUAUCUGGAACAUUAUCUCUGUUUAAAAGAGCUUUGUGCCAUGUGAAUUGAAAACAGAACUUGAAAUUAUUUCAUACAAUGUUUAUUUUUUAAUUAAGAACAUAGAAUAUUCAUUAUUUUCAGCCUCUAAAAGCAGUUCACUUUUUUUUAUUGGAUAUUUAUUUACAUUUCUAAUGUUAUUCCCUUUCCUGGUUUCUUGUCCCUAUCCCCCUCCCCUUCUUCUAUAAGGGUGUUCCCCUCCCCAUCCACCCUCCCUUCCUCCUCCCCCCAACAAUCCCCUACACUGGGGGUCCAGCCCUGGCAGGACCAAGGGCUUCUCCUUCCAUUGGUGCCCAGCAAGGCCAUCCUCUGCUACAUUUGCAGUUGGAGCCAUGGGUCAGUCUAUGCACAGUCUUUGGGUAGUGGCUUAGUCCCUGGAAGCUCUGGUUGUUUGGCACUGUUGUUCGUAUGGGGUUACAAACUCCUCCAGUUCCUUUAAUUCUUUCUCUAAUUCCUCUAAGAGGGCCCCGUUCUCAGGUCAGUGGUUUGCUGCUAGCGGUCGCCUCUCUAUUUGACAUGCUCUGGCUGUGUCUCUCAGGAGAGAUCUAUAUCCGGUUCCUGUCAGCCUGCACCUCUUAGCUUCAUCAAUCUUAUCUAGUUUUGGUAGCUGUGUAUACAUGGGCCACAUGUGGGGCAGGCUCUGAAUGGCCGUUCCUUCAGUUUCUGCUCUAAACUUAAAGCAGUUCAUUUAAAUAAACAUAUCUAUUAUCUAUAAGGCAGGGACUAUAUAUAAAUGGGACUAGAGAUAUAAAGUAGGUAAAUGAGUCUGGCGUGGGGAAUGGGCGGAGUCAUCAAGUAUUUCUCAAGACCUGUGAGGAGAUGCGUCACCUCCAAACAGGAACUGGGGUAUCAGCCUUUACAUGUAAAGAUUUUUAAAGAGAGAGUAAAGAAUGCGGGCUGGAGAGAUGGCUCAGCGGUUAAGAGCACUGACUGCUCUUCCAGAGACCCUGAGUUCAAAUCCCAGCAACCACAUGGUGGCUCACAACCAUCUGUAAUGGGAUCUGAUGCCCUCUUCUGGUGUGUCUGAAGACAGCUACAGUGCACUCAUAUACAUAAAAUAAAUAAAUUAAAAAAUUAUAACAAAGAAUGCAUGUGAAGAAUAUAUAUGUUAUAUAUAUCUUUGUCAGGAAACACAUUUUUCAAAACCCAUUCAACAUUACAAAAAUUAAGCAUUUUCAUACCAUGAGGAGAAGCUCAACUCCAACUAGAAAACCAGUAAUUUUCAUAAGAAAAUGUACACAAAACAUGGAUAAAUACAAUUCAUUCCAACCGCAGUAAAAAGUGUGGGCUCCCUCAGCUCUUAAGAUGAAGAGCAUAUAUGGAAGAAAAUGCUUGGCUGGUGUGUGUGUCUUACAGCAUAGCUUGCCCACUCUGUCCAUGGACACCGCAUGCUUCCACCUCUUGGCUACUGUGAAUAGUCCUGGCAUGAACACAGGUGCUCAGAUAUCUUUUUAAGACAUUAUUUUUGGUUUUCUAAGAUAUAUGACCAGAAAUGAGAUUGGUGGUUUGCAUGGUAGCAUGAUUUUCACAUUUCUAGUAGACUAUAAUGUUCAUUAGUUUUUAUCACUAAAUAAUGUUGCCCAAAAACAGUUGUGUUUAUCAUUGGCUAUUGUUUAUGUUGAGAUUUCAUCACCAGUGUACUAGCAAUGAAAGAGGUGGUGUUAGGCAGCUAGACAGACAUUAGCAGGCUUGGAAGCCCUUGAGCAUGGGCCUCUCACUUUGAAACCCACCUUUCAUUUUACCAUAUGGAAAGGUGGGAGAUACGGGAGCUUUAUUGCAGCCCGGUGAGGGAAGGCUACCUCCUCUGGCUCAGAAGGGUAGAUCUGAGUUCUCUACCUCUUGCCCUAGGUGGAGCAUAACAAAGUGAAGUACCCUAAAGAUUAGAAUAAUGUCCUCCACUAAGAGCAGCCCCAAAUGGGCCUACCCAUCACCUCACCAGGAAACCACUCCUCAGGAAAGCUGAUUCACCUGACAUGCUAAGGAGACAGAGGGAAUAAUUAUCCCCUUAAUGAAAUCAUGCACUCAGACACCCUGGCUGCCCCUCCUUUGGGGCAAGUUGCUCGCAGAUCUUUUAGUGACCGCUAAGCCUGCCUGCUUUUCUAAGUUGUGGUUCAAAAAUGUAACUUUUCCUUUCUCCCCUUCUAUCUCUUCUUUGGAUACCAGCCAAAAUCCUAAAUGGGCUUGCCCUGACAUGCUGGGCUUUCUCCCUGUUUUCUCUGGAGACUCUCUUUCUGCAAUGUUUGCAGCCCCCUGUGGCUCAGCCUGACAGAAGGCCGGCCCUUUUCCCUUAUCUACCCCCUCCCCAAACUGCCAAGAUUUUUAGCUUGCCUGCCCUGUUGAUUUUCUCUCAAAUUCCAAUAAAAUGGUCCUCAAGCUUCCUUCUGAGUUGGUUUUAAGAUUAUUUUACCAGAGAAAUUAAGAACCCACAAAGGGAACUGUGAUUCCUUGGUGCCACUGGGACCUUUAAGAGGGACUGAUCUCUUGUCUUGUGAGACAUUUAAUCUCAAAAUUGGUCACAGAAAUAUAUUAGUUCUUCUGAGAGUAUAAUGUUACAAAAAAUGUCUGGCCUCUUCUGUCCCGCACUCUGCCACAUUCUUACCACAUGAUGCACCUCCCCUGUCUGGCAGGAGAGACCGCAGAUCCAUCUUUGGUUGCAGUUUUGGACAGAAUGACAGCUUUGGAUCUAGUUUCAUCCUGUUUACAGGAGAACACCCAAGUUUAACAGCACUAUUUGCCAACAAAGCUUUUCCUGCCCCAAUGUGUAUUUUUUCACACUUUUGUCAAAGAGCAGGUGCUGUAUCUAUUCAAUUCUACUGGCGUAUGUGCCUGUUUCUGUUGUGCAAAUGACGUUUUUGCUAGUCGGAUACUAUGUGUAAGAGAUAAGAUAUAAUUAAUGGUCCAUCUUCAAGACAAACGUGCCUUGAAGUGCAGCUAUAGGUGAAGAAGAGAACACUAGAACCCUGACGGUGAUGGCUGGUCUAGAUAGCCUCUACCCAAAGGAAGCAUUUAGGGUGGACUAUUAUGAAGAGCCAAGCUUGCCUAUUGGCUUACAAACUGACAAAAUUUAUGUCUCGAGAAACUUUAAAAUACACAGAAUGUAAAGUGUGCAGAUGAACUCACUUGUAGUCUUUGCUGAGAAAAUGCAAACAUACGUGGCAAUUGGUGUGUAAGAUUUUUACUACCAUCCCAUUACUCAGCCAAUGAGGAAAAGGAGGAAGAGAACUGGACCUUCAGGGUUAUAAAAGCCAUCCUCGGACCUCACCCAGUGCAGAUAUACCCACGUCCCAUCCCUACCCCCACCCCCACUCCUUUUUUUUUAAAGGCCAGCAUUCAGUUCUGCAGAAACUAAAAUUACCUGAUUUUUUUCUAUGUGAAGUCUCCUAAAUACAUUAUUAUGAACUGUGGGUCCCCAUUCCUUACAGACCGGGUGCUCUGUAGGAUUUCUGCAUUUGGGGAGAGAACCCCUCAUUCUCUGGGAGAGCUGAAGAUACGUCCCUCCCAUCUUUGGGCAGCAGGGCUGCCUGACUUUGGUCUUUGCACAAGUCACCAGAAAAGACCCAUGGCAAUUCUGAGAGGAGCAAACCAAUGGUAGGGCACUCAGAUUUCCAGAAGGUGCAUCUCCUCAGGAAUCACCAACUUCAUUAAUGGGGGUCGUUCUUUUGGAUAAAGAGUGAAUGGAUUUAUAAACAUCCUGCUUGUCAACAAGGAAGUCAGAAGUUUCAAGAGGAACACAAAGCCCCCUUGGAAGAUCCCCUGGGCCUACAGAACUACUAGAUUGUCUUCUGAGUCCUAGUUUUAAUAUGUGAGCUCAGCUUGUGUCCAUUGACCAUUGUUUCUCAGGAAGUGAUUAGAAGAAUGGCUUUGGUUACCUGGGAAAGACAAUGACUCAUCCUCAAGUCAUAUAGUGAAGUUUCUCAAGCAUGCAUCUUGAAUGUGAUCAUAAUCUCCAAGACAGAGCUUAGACACAAGCCCUUCUCACAUGAGUUCUUCAGGGUAUUAGGAAAUCUAGCAAAGGAGGAUGAGGAAGAUGAGGAGGAGGUGGAG
ensembl:lncRNA